AGCGAACGCUGGCGGCGGGCUUAACACAUGCAAGUCGAGCGGAUGUAGCAAUACAUCAGCGGCAGACGGGUGAGUAACACGUGGGAACGUACCUUUUGGUUCGGAACAACACAGGGAAACUUGUGCUAAUACCGGAUAAGCCCUUACGGGGAAAGAUUUAUCGCCGAAAGAUCGGCCCGCGUCUGAUUAGCUAGUUGGUGAGGUAACGGCUCACCAAGGCGACGAUCAGUAGCNGGUCUGAGAGGAUGAUCAGCCACAUUGGGACUGAGACACGGCCCAAACUCCUACGGGAGGCAGCAGUGGGGAAUAUUGGACAAUGGGCGCAAGCCUGAUCCAGCCAUGCCGCGUGAGUGAUGAAGGCCCUAGGGUUGUAAAGCUCUUUUGUGCGGGAAGAUAAUGACGGUACCGCAAGAAUAAGCCCCGGCUAACUUCGUGCCAGCAGCCGCCGCCGU
rnacentral:rRNA from 1 species